rnacentral:rRNA from 1 species
AGGACGAACGCUGGCGGCGUGCUUAACACAUGCAAGUCGAACGGAAAGGCCCUUCGGGGUACUCGAGUGGCGAACGGGUGAGUAACACGUGGGUGAUCUGCCCUGCACUUCGGGAUAAGCCUGGGAAACUGGGUCUAAUACCGGAUAUGACUACGAAUCGCAUGGUUUGUGGUGGAAAGCUUUUGCGGUGUGGGAUGGGCCCGCGGCCUAUCAGCUUGUUGGUGGGUGAUGGCCUACCAAGGCGACGACGGGUA